rnacentral:snoRNA from 1 species
UCUGGGGGCCAGCUGGUGUGCGGUGCAGCACAGCACAGUGCGACAGAGGCCCCGCCGCAAGUCACCUGGGGAUUGAGCCUGGGGCCCCCUUUUUGGCUGGGAGCCUGGAAUUUAAGCCCCUAAAGCC